AUUCCAGCUCCAAUAGCGUAUAUUAAAGUUGUUGCGGUUAAAAAGCUCGUAGUUGGAUUUCUGCUGAGGACGACCGGUCCGCCCUCUGGGUGAGUAUCUGGCUUGGCCUUGGCAUCUUCUUGGAGAACGUAGCUGCACUUGACUGUGUGGUGCGGUAUCCAGGACUUUUACUUUGAGGAAAUUAGAGUGUUUCAAGCAGGCACACGCCUUGAAUACAUUAGCAUGGAAUAAUAAGAUAGGACCUUGGUUCUAUUUUGUUGGUUUCUAGAGCUGAGGUAAUGAUUAAUAGGGAUAGUUGGGGGCAUUAGUACUUUGCUGUCAGAGGUGAAAUUCUCGGAUUUGCAAAAGACUAACUUAUGCGAAAGCAUUUGCCAAGGAUGUUUUCAUCA
rnacentral:rRNA from 1 species